rnacentral:rRNA from 1 species
UACGUAGGGAGCAAGCGUUGUCCGGAUUAUUGGGCGUAAAGAGCUCGUAGGCGGUUCGGCAAGUCGGAUGUGAAAUCUCCACGCUUAACGUGGAGGGGCCAUUCGAAACUGCCGUGACUCGAGUCCGGUAGGGGAGUGCGGAAUUCCCGGUGUGAGCGGUGAAAUGCGCAGAGAUCGGGAAGAACACCCGUGGCGAAGGCGGUUCUCUGGGACGGUACUGACGCUGAGACGCGAAAGCGUGGGGAGCGAACAGG